UACAGAGGGGGCAAGCGUUAUUCGGAAUUUAUUGGGCGUAAAAGGGCGCGUAGGCGGCUUGGCAAGUGGAUGGUGAAAUCCCUCGGCUUAACCGAGGAACUGCCAUCCAGACUGCUUUGCUUGAGGCCGGGAGAGGUGAGUGGAAUUCCCAGUGUAGCGGUGAAAAUGCGUAGAUAUUGGGAGGAACACCAGUGGCGAAGGCGGCUCACUGGACCGGUUCUGACGCUGAGGCGCGAAAAGCGUGGGGAGCAAACGGGG
rnacentral:rRNA from 1 species